rnacentral:rRNA from 1 species
GAUAGACGCUGGCGGCGUGCCUAAUACAUGCAAGUUGAACGGAGAGCUUCGGCUCUUAGUAGCGAACGGGUGAGUAACACGUAGGCAACCUGCCCUGUUGACUGGGAUAACAAUCCGAAAGGAUUGCUAAUACCGGAUGAUAACUUGUGUCGCAUGACACAAGGAUGAAAGUUGGGAUACAACACAACAGGAUGGGCCUGCGGCGCAUUAGCUAGAUGGUGAGAUAGCAGCCCACCAUGGCAAUGAUGCGUAGCCGAUCUGAGAGGAUGUACGGCCACAUUGGAACUGAGACACGGUCCAGACUCCUACGGGAGGCAGCAGUAGGGAAUAUUGCGCAAUGGAGGAAAACUCUGACGCAGUGACGCCGCGUAUAGGAAGAAGGUUUUUCGGAUUGUAAACUAUUGUCAAUUUAGGGAAGAACAAAGACAGUACCUAAGGAGGAAGCCCCCGGCUAAACCGUAUGUGCCAGCAGCC